rnacentral:rRNA from 1 species
UACGGAGGCCUCAAGCGUUGUUCGGAAUCACUGGGCUUAAAGCGCGUGUAGGCGGAACGGCAAGUGCUUUGUGAAAUCCCCCGUCUCAACCGGGUGAAUCGCUGGGCAUACUGCCGUUCUUGAGGCAGGUAGGGGUCGCUGGAACGUUAGGUGGAGCGGCGAAAUGCGUAGAUAUCUAACGGAACGCCUGUGGCGAAAGCGGGUGACUGGGCCUGUCCUGACGCUGAGACGCGAAAGCGUAGGGAGCAAACGGG